CGAGCGCAACCCCUAUCCUCAGUUGCCAUCAUUAAGUUGGGCACUCUGUGGAGACUGCCGGUGUCAAACCGGAGGAAGGUGGGGAUGACGUCAAGUCCUCAUGGCCCUUAUGACCAGGGCUACACACGUGCUACAAUGGCCGGUACAAAGAGUUGCGAUACCGCGAGGUGGAGCUAAUCUCAUAAAGCCGGUCUCAGUUCGGAUUGCAGGCUGCAACUCGCCUGCAUGAAGCCGGAAUCGCUAGUAAUCGCGGAUCAGCAUGCCGCGGUGAAUACGUUCCCGGGCCUU
rnacentral:rRNA from 1 species